UACAAUGCAGUCGAACGGUGACCUCGGAGCUUGCUUCGGGUGAUCAGUGGCGAACGGGUGAGUAACACGUGAGUAACCUGCCCCAGACUCUGGGAUAACCUCGGGAAACCGGGGCUAAUACCGGAUAUGCAGCGUUCCCGCAUGGGAUGCGUUGGGAAAGUUUUUCGGUCUGGGAUGGACUCGCGGCCUAUCAGCUUGUUGGUGAGGUAGUGGCUCACCAAGGCGACGACGGGUAGCCGGCCUGAGAGGGCGACCGGCCACACUGGAACUGAGACACGGUCCAGACUCCUACGGGAGGCAGCAGUGGGGAAUAUUGCACAAUGGGCGCAAGCCUGAUGCAGCGACGCCGCGUGGGGGAUGAAGGCCUUCGGGUUGUAAACCCCUUUCAGCAGGGAAGAAGCGAAAGUGACGGUACCUGCAGAAGAAGCGCCGGCUAACUACGUGCCAGCAGCCGCGGUAAUACGUAGGGCGCAAGCGUUGUCCGGAAUUAUUGGGCGUAAAGAGCUCGUAGGCGGUUUGUCGCGUCUGCUGUGAAAACCCGAGGCUCAACCUCGGGCCUGCAGUGGGUACGGGCAGACUAGAGUGUGGUAGGGGAGACUGGAAUUCCUGGUGUAGCGGUGGAAUGCGCAGAUAUCAGGAGGAACACCGAUGGCGAAGGCAGGUCUCUGGGCCACAACUGACGCUGAGGAGCGAAAGCGUGGGGAGCGAACAGGAUUAGAUACCCUGGUAGUCCACGCCGUAAACGGUGGGCACUAGAUGUGGGGCUCAUUCCAUGAGUUCCGCGUCGCAGCUAACGCAUUAAGUGCCCCGCCUGGGGAGUACGGCCGCAAGGCUAAAACUCAAAGGAAUUGACGGGGGCCCGCACAAGCGGCGGAGCAUGCGGAUUAAUUCGAUGCAACGCGAAGAACCUUACCAGGCUUGACAUAUACCCUCUACC
rnacentral:rRNA from 1 species